rnacentral:rRNA from 1 species
UACGUAGGGUGCGAGCGUUGUCCGGAAUUACUGGGCGUAAAGAGCUCGUAGGUGGUUUGUCGCGUUGUCCGUGAAAACUCACAACUCAAUUGUGGGCGUGCGGGCGAUACGGGCAGACUGGAGUACUGCAGGGGAGACUGGAAUUCCUGGUGUAGCGGUGGAAUGCGCAGAUAUCAGGAGGAACACCGGUGGCGAAGGCGGGUCUCUGGGCAGUAACUGACGCUAAGGAGCGAAAGCAUGGGGAGCGAACAGG